GCAUAUAAGGCCUUUGUCGAGCAUAGGAAUCUCGAGGUGCGAGAGUACUUGCAACGAGUGAAGGCAAACGAUGAUUACAACCGUCAGAUGAUGGCGGCUAUGUUGGCGUCUUGGAGUAACCGCACGGAUCCACCACAAAUGGGACCCCCACCACCACCUGCGGGAGAACCCCCACACGUGCCCACGUUCGAUGAAUGGGUGGCACUAGGCAGUGAUAGUCCGGGGACCGGUGGCUCGACUCCUGCUCCAUCGACCCCAGUCACUCCGAUCUUCCAGAGUGAUGGUGGUCGCGGUGCCGGUUUUGGCGGUGGCGAUUUUGGCGGAUGUGGUCUUGGCGGUGGUGGUCUUGGCGGUGGUGGUUUUGGCGGAGGUGGUCUUGCUUGAUGUCGAUGAUGAUUCCGUGCAUGUGGUCGUCGUGCCAUACCUUUCAUGUUCCUACUUUUAUGAUGUCCCAUGUCUUGCACUACUUUUAUGUUCAUGAACUUUCGCCGGUGAUGAUCUUUAGAUGAUGAACUUGACUAUGUUUAAAUGAUGAUGAUGGACUUGAGUAUGUUUAGAUGAUGAACUGUCAUAUUUCUGCAUAAUCCCAUAUUAUUGUGCUUUGAAUGCUGUCAAAUGAAUUGAAAAAGAGAA